UACGUAGGGACCGAGCGUUGUCCGGAAUCAUUGGGCGUAAAGAGCGUGUAGGCGGCUCCUUAAGUCCUGCGUGAAAUCCUGCGGCUCAACCGCGGACGGUCGUGGGAAACUGGAGGGCUAGAGUGCGGGAGAGGAGAGUGGAAUUCCCGGUGUAGCGGUGAAAUGCGCAGAUAUCGGGAGGAACACCGGUGGCGAAGGCGGAUCUCUGGGCCGUAACUGACGCUGAGGAGCGAAAGCGUGGGGAGCGAACAGG
rnacentral:rRNA from 1 species